GACAGAGGGUGCAAACGUUGUUCGGAAUCACUGGGCGUAAAGCGCACGUAGGCGGCUUUUUAAGUCAGGGGUGAAAUCCUGGAGCUCAACUCCAGAACUGCCUUUGAUACUGGGAAGCUUGAGUCCGGGAGAGGUGAGUGGAACUCCGAGUGUAGAGGUGAAAUUCGUAGAUAUUCGGAAGAACACCAGUGGCGAAGGCGGCUCACUGGCCCGGUACUGACGCUGAGGUGCGAAAGCGUGGGGAGCAAACAGG
rnacentral:rRNA from 1 species